UACGUAGGGACCAAGCGUUGUUCGGAUUUACUGGGCGUAAAGGGCGCGUAGGCGGCAAUUCAAGUCAGCUGUGAAACUCUCCGGGCUUAACUCGGAACGGUCAGCGUGAUACUGCUUUGCUAGAGUACAGAAGGGGCAAUCGGAAUUCUUGGUGUAGCGGUGAAAUGCGUAGAUAUCAAGAGGAACACCUGAGGUGAAGACGGGUUGCUGGGCUGAUACUGACGCUGAGUGCGCGAAAGCCAGGGGAGCAAACGGG
rnacentral:rRNA from 1 species